rnacentral:rRNA from 1 species
UACGUAGGGGGCAAGCGUUGUCCGGAUUUAUUGGGCGUAAAGCGCGCGUAGGCGGCUAGGUAUGUCGUGCGUGAAAUCUCCCGGCUUAACUGGGAGGGGCCGUGCGAAACUGCCUGGCUUGAGGACUGGAGAGGAGACUGGAAUUUACGGUGUAGCGGUGAAAUGCGUAGAUAUCGGAAGGAAGACCAGUGGCGAAGGCGGGUCUCUGGACAGUUCCUGACGCUGAGGCACGAAGGCCAGGGGAGCAAACGGG